rnacentral:rRNA from 1 species
UACGGAAUGUGCAAACGUUAUUCGGAAUCACUGGGCUUAAAGAGUCCGUAGGCGGCAUGUUAGGUGAGGUGUGAAAUCCCACGGCCCAACCGUGGAAUUGCGCUUCAAACCGGCGUGCUCGAGGAAGAUAGAGGUGGGCGGAACUGAUGGUGGAGCGGUGAAAUGCGUUGAUAUCAUCAGGAACACCGGAGGCGAAGGCGGCCCACUGGGUCUUUUCUGACGCUGAGGGACGAAAGCUAGGGGAGCGAACGGG